AUUACCGCGAGGUGGUGUGUCUGAAGGAAGCGUGGAGCAAAACCGCGACCUGACGAACAGAAACCGGAUAUGAGGCAUCCCUGGCCGGACGAGCGGGCAACGUGUCGCGAAGUCCAUAUCCAUCAAAGGGCAGGGCUGUAGAUCCGGCAGGUGCGCGGGGAAGGCGAUUGAA
rnacentral:ncRNA from 1 species